rnacentral:rRNA from 1 species
UUAAAUUGAAGAGUUUGAUCAUGGCGCAGAUUGAACGCUGGCGGCAGGCCUAACACAUGCAAGUCGAACGGUAACAGGAAGCAGCUUGCUGCUUUGCUGACGAGUGGCGGACGGGUGAGUAAUGUCUGGGAAACUGCC